GGUCUCUGAAAGGUAUAGUGCUCCAAAACCACAUCUUUAAACAGAGAAUGAAUCUAAAGUCUUCCAACUUCAUAAGGAGACUGCCAGUAUUUUAAAAGCAUAUAUUGAAGUUGAAAACCAAAAGGCAGACCUUUAUAACAAACUGAUACAUACAUCAAUGUGAUGUACAAUACAGAAACAUAACCGUUGAUGUCUAUCUCAGAGCUACAACUGACGUACAAAUUGAACUCUCUAAGAUAUAAAGUGAAUGCCACAAUAUACAUUUCUACAGAGUAGGGAGUCUGACUAGAUUUAAAUGAAUACGUACACUUGAAGUUCCUUUUGGUAUAAUAUGCCUACAAUAAGGUUUCGUCGUCAUUCUUAUUCUAUUUGUAGGGUUUGGGGUGAGGGGAGAGUGGAACUUACAUUUCGUGCUUCGAGAAAGGAACUGCAAAAAUGUUAAUGCUAUUCAUGGAACAAAACUUCAACAAAUUUUCUGCUUAAUCUGACUCCGUC
rnacentral:lncRNA from 1 species